GAUGAAGAACGCAGCGAAAUGCGAUAAGUAAUGUGAAUUGCAGAAUUCAGUGAAUCAUCGAAUCUUUGAACGCACAUUGCGCCCGCCAGUAUUCUGGCGGGCAUGCCUGUUCGAGCGUCAUUUCAACCAUCAAGCCCCCGGCUUGUGUUGGGGACCUGCGGCUGCCGCAGGCCCUGAAAUGCAGUGGCGGGCUCGCUGUCACUCCGAGCGUAGUAGUUACAUCUCGCUCUGGGCGUGCUGCGGGUUCCGGCCGUUAAAAGCCUUAUUUACCCAAGGUUGACCUCGGAUCAGGUAGGAAGACCCGCUGAACUUAAGCAUAUCAAUAAGCGGAGGC
rnacentral:misc_RNA from 1 species